rnacentral:rRNA from 1 species
CCUACGGGUGGCAGCAGUGAGGAAUAUUGGUCAAUGGACGAGAGUCUGAACCAGCCAAGUCGCGUGAAGGAUGACUGCUCUAUGGGUUGUAAACUUCUUUUAUAUGGGAAUAAAAUGUUCCACGUGUGGGGUUUUGUAUGUACCAUAUGAAUAAGGAUCGGCUAACUCCGUGCCAGCAGCCGCGGUAAUACGGAGGAUCCGAGCGUUAUCCGGAUUUAUUGGGUUUAAAGGGAGCGUAGGUGGAUUGUUAAGUCAGUUGUGAAAGUUUGCGGCUCAACCGUAAAAUUGCAGUUGAAACUGGCAGUCUUGAGUACGGUAGAGGUAGGCGGAAUGCGUGGUGUAGCGGUGAAAUGCUUAGAUAUCACGAAGAACUCCGAUUGCGAAGGCAGCUCGCUGGACUGCAACUGACACUGAGGCACGAAAGUGUGGGGAUCAAACAGGAUUAGAUACCCUAGUAGUC